GAUUUAUAUAUUUAAUGGCCGCGGUAUUUUGACCGUGCGAAGGUAGCAUAAUCAUUAGCCUAUUUAUUGUGGGAUAGUAUGAAUGGUUUGACGAAAUAUUGGCUGUCUCAUUUUAAUUAUUUAGAAUUUAAUUUUUGAGUUAAAAAGCUUAAAUUUUUUUAAAGGACGAGAAGACCCUAUAGAUCUUUAUUAUUUAUUUUUUAUAUUUUUUUUUAGUUUAUUUUAUUAUGUUUUUAUUUAUUAUUUUGUUGGGGUGAUGUUAGGAUAUAUUUAACUCCUUUUUUUUUAAUCAUUUAUUUUUGUUUUUUUGAUCUUUUAUUAUUGCUUAUAAGAAUAAGAUACCUUAGGGAUAACAGCGUAAUUCUCUUUGAGAGUUCAUAUUGACAAUAGAGUUUGCGACCUCGAUGUUGAAUUAAGAUUAUUUUUAGGUGAAGUAGCUUAAUUAUUAAGUCUGUUCGACUUUUAAUAUCUUACAUGAUCUGAGU
rnacentral:rRNA from 2 species